rnacentral:pre_miRNA from 1 species
CAAAUACUCCCUCCGUCCAGAAAUACUUGUCAUCAAAAUGGAUAAAAGGAAAUGUAUCUAGACGUAUUUUAGUUUUAGAUACAUCUCUUUUUAUCCAUUUUGAUGACAAGUAUUUUCGGACGGAGGGAGUAUUUA